rnacentral:rRNA from 1 species
AAUCAACGCUGGCGGCGUGCCUCAGACAUGCAAGUCGAACGAUUAAACUUUCCUUCGGGAAAGAUAUAAAGUGGCGCACGGGUGAGUAACACGUAAGUAAUCUACCUUCGAGUGGGGAAUAACGUUCGGAAACGAACGCUAAUACCGCAUAAUGCAGCGGCACCUAAUGGUGACAGUUGUUAAAGGAGCAAUUCGCUUGAAGAGGAGCUUGCGGCAGAUUAGCUAGUUGGUAAGGAACGGCUUACCAAGGCUACGAUCUGUAACCGGUCUAAGAGGACGGUCGGUCACACUGACACUGAAUAACGGGUCAGACUCCUACGGGAGGCAGCAGUCGGGAAUUUUGGGCAAUGGGCGAAAGCCUGACCCAGCAACGCCGCGUGAAGGAUGAAGUAUUUCGGUAUGUAAACUUCGAAAGAAUAGGGAAGAAUCAAUGACGGUACCAUUUAUAAGGUCCGGCUAACU